UUUCUCAUUAGUUGAUUCAUGUUCUGGUUUUUUUAUAUUUUGACACAGUAGUUUUGGAAAGUCAAGAGAAUCAGGAAGAAGUGAAUAGCCUGUCAAUAUUGAUUGCAAGAAAUUUACAACUGAAGCUGUUUGCACCUGAAAUUGUAAAGAGCUCAAUAUUGAAAAUUUUCAAAUGCUCAUAUCACGGGGCAAACAAAUUUGCAAAAACCUCCAAAAAUUCAGGGAUUUAAAACACUUCAAUUAAAAAACAGCAGAAUAAACUUCUAAAUUAUAUGAUUGAUAGCAUUUUUUAUUAGUACUUUAACACAGCCUUGGAACAUGUAAUUUCCCGAAUAUUCCCCUGAAGGAAUUGAUUGGCUAUUGUUUUUGGACUUUUUAUAUUUCUUCAUAUUUCUCUAAAAUGGGUUAUGAGUUAUUGUGCUCAUGCGCUAUGUGUGCUGUUUACUAUAUUCCAGCGUGGCUGUGGUAUCCAACAAGUGCAUUAUUUGGCUGGUUCGGUUAAAUCAAAUAAUUUUCAGUCAUUGAAUUCACGUUACAACCCGAAGAGAAUCCAUAAUUGUGAAUUGAAAUGGGUGUUUUUUUUGCAGCCAUUUCAGUGUCAAUGAUUAUAUUGUAUUUAGGUGAUCACUCCACUUUUGCACAUCUUCCUCCGUAUGACUAUAUCAUGAUGGGUAGGGUUCUAAACAUAAUUUAUCUGAAUACGAAUCCUGACAAUUCAGCGAGCUUUAAUGAGAGUGUGAUUUGCUUCAUUGCCAUGAGGCAUACCUGGAAAGAUGUGUACUUGCCAGAAGACCCGACAAAACAUAAUGGCCGAUAUCACGAAUGUUCACUACGUGAAGCUUGUGAUUUCACAGAAAAGGCGAUGCGCAUAAGCCGUGACAUCUUAAUGAAAGCAAGGUAUACUGCCAGUAAAGAUGAUAAUACAACCAAUAACCAAGUGGCUGGUGUCGAGUUUCCCGCGACUGGUGCUUUUUUCCGGAAUUAGCGAGCAGAAGUGUGAAAAAAUCAAAUUAUCUAUUCUCCAAAUAAGACCAAUUUUGUACCCAAAAAAUAAGAACAAACCCGAAGGUUUUUUUCUUUACUUUUGAUGAUGUUUGUGGGGAGAGCUACAAAUGUCAUUGAUCAUAAAGGUAGCUUUCUGAAUGAAAGUUUGAACUGGUUGCUAUGAGUGUUUGUAGUGAUUUAUUUUUAAAAUCAGUUUUUGUAUUAAAAUUAGGUCGUUUACAUUCACAAUAAAAUGAACGUAAUUGUUGGAUGGACAUUAUUUGAGUAAUUUUGUUCAUCUUCUGUUUUAUCUAUAGCUAUUUGUCUAUUCUUUGUGUUAUAUUCAGAAGUAAAAUUUUUUAUAAAA